rnacentral:rRNA from 1 species
GGAGCUGGCGGCGUGCUUACACAUGCAAGUCGAGCGGUAAGGCCACUUCGGUGGUACACGAGCGGCGAACGGGUGAGUAACACGUGAGCAACCUGUCCCUUCUCUUCGGAAUAAGCGUUGGAAACGACGUCUAAUGCCGAAUAUGACUUCCUUUUGCAUGAUUGGAAGUGGAAAGCUCCGGCGGAGAGGGAUGGGCUCGCGGCCUAUCAGCUAGUUGGUGUGGGUAAUGGCCCACCAAGGCGACGACGGGUAGCCGGCCUGAGAGGGUGACCGGCCACACUGGGACUGAGACACGGCCCAGACUCCUACGGGAGGCAGCAGUGGGGAAUAUUGGACAAUGGGCGAAAGCCUGAUCCAGCAACGCCGCGUGAGGGAUGACGGCCUUCGGGUUGUAAACCUCUUUCAGCGGGGACGAAGCGAAAGUGACGGUACCCGCAGAAGAAGACCGGCCAACUACGUGCCAGCAGCCGCGGUAAUACGUAAGGUCCGAGCGUUGUCCGGAAUUAUUGGG